rnacentral:rRNA from 1 species
UACGUAGGCAGCGAGCGUUGUUCGGAGUUACUGGGCGUAAAGAGUGCGUAGGCGGUUUUCUAAGUUUGGUGUGAAAUCUCCCGCUUAACUGGGAGGGUGCGCCGAAGACUGGAAGGCUUGAGUAUGGGAGAGGUAAGCGGAAUUCCUGGUGUAGCGGUGAAAUGCGUAGAUAUUAGGAGGAACACCAGUGGCGAAGGCGGCUUACUGGACUGUAACUGACGUUGAGG